GACGAACGCUGGCGGCGUGCUUAACACAUGCAAGUCGAACGGAAAGGCCCUGCUUUUGUGGGGUGCUCGAGUGGCGAACGGGGGAGUAACACGUGAGUAACCUGCCUUAGCCUUUGGGAUAACUUCAGGAAACUGGGGCUAAUACCGGAAAGUAGCGCCUGCUGCACGGUGGGAGUUGGAAAGUUUCGGCGGAUGGGGUAGGACUCGCGGCUUAUCGGCCUGUCGGUGGGGUAGUGGGUUAGCAAGGCUUUGACGGGGAGCCGGCCGGAGAGGUUGACCGGCGACAUUGGGACGGAGAUAAGGCCCAGAAGCCUACGGGAGUCAGCAGUGGGGAGUAUUACACAAUGGGCGGAAGCCUGAUGCAGCGACGCCGGGUGCGGGAUGGCGGCCUUCGGGUUGUAGACCGCUUGCGGCUGUGACGAAGCGUGAGUGACGGUAAUGGGUAAAGAAGCACCGGCUAACUACGUG
rnacentral:rRNA from 1 species